rnacentral:lncRNA from 1 species
CUCAGAGGAGGAGACUAGCUAAAAAUUUAACCAUUGGGAGGAAAGAAAGGGACGUUUUCUGGUGGAGAAUAUGUACGACCACUCUGAAGUAAAAGUUAGUCCUUUUUAAGCGAAGGAAUUCUGUGAUCUGAAGCAUAAAAAAAAAGGGCAAAGACACGUAUUUAUUUACAAAGAGAUCUGGAAGUGAGGACUGAAUGACAGUACGAGCGGUUAAAGGGAGAAAAUAGAAGCAGAUAUUAAUCGAAGGAAAGAAGUGAAGACUGAAUGAACGGGAGAAUCACAGAUCAGCUAACAAAACCUGAUUCACCGGUUUCUCUUCAGAAGAUUUUUGAAGCUCAGAGAUGGUGGCUGCUGCAAAUACUGACGACUUAUAAGACUGUGAUAUACAAGUUUGACUGGAUGGCUUCAUAUCUUACAUCACUACUACGCAGACGAUACUCAACUCUCCUUGUAAUUCUAGGGUGACCUUAUGUCCUUUUUUUUAGGGUCUGUCCGCCUGUCCGGGGGAUUUAUAAAAUCCUUCAAACGUCCAGGAAAGUUUAGAGUUUGUGUCGUGUGAAUUUACCGAGUUAGAAGCACUUAAAAAACACUCGACCCGACCCGGAAAACUCUCAAAAUUUAUGACUCACCACUUCACGACUCUGCCCCACGUAGUUGUGUCGUCUUUUUGGGAAUUCAGAAUAUGGUCACCCUAGUAACUCCCAUCCCUACCUGACAGAGCACACAGCACAGCUCCUGACGACUGCACCUCCUUACUGGCAGGCAGCUUGUGGGUGUUAGUUUUUACACAGCUCUGUACUGAGACUGUGUCUGAGGCUAGCUGUUAGCACCGACAUUAGCUCUCUUUUAUAGUUUAACAACAUCUGAUUGGACUUGAAGAACUUUAUGGCAGUUUUGUGUCGUUUCCUUGAGUGCAGAUCUUUGCUCGUUGGACUUCCUCUCAGAUGAGGUGUAAAAUGAGAGUUUAAUGUGGGUUUGGACUUGGGAGAAGACUGGCGUUGGGGGCCCACAUGGAAAACAAGACCAAACGUAGUCUCUAGGGCCAAAGAGACUGGACGUAGACUUAGCGAUAGUUACCUACUAGCUUCUGGUGAAGCUUUCGAAGGACAAAUGAUGGUCGAAAUACGCACUCCUUUCUAAAAAGCUCUCUCCUGAUUGGUCCGAAGUAAAGCGUUUUUGUACAUAUGUAUAUCACAGAUGUUUACUUUUGCAGCAUCUCGUUAAAAGGCAGUUAAAGAUCGUUUCCAACCGUUUGAACCAUGUGGAUUUAAAACUGAAGCGGCUCUUAGAACAUAACAGAUGACCUUUCAUAUUAAAGAGGAAUCAAUCAGGCGGAUUAAGAGAGACAUCAAUAAUGUAAUAUCUAAGAGGGGAAAGGGCAGAAAACAACAGAGAGGAAUAAUCAAGAUGGAGUUGUGUAUGGCAUACAUGGAGGACCUGAACUCUGUGACUCGACAUGAUAAAUCACCCAGGAUUCAUUGGGACGUCAACAAAGUGUCCCAGGGCCUCCGAGCUGCGGCUGCUGCAUUAACAGUAGAUGGAUGGAGAUGUACGGAGUCCUGGUGUACACAGUCUUCUGCUCUUUGCUCUUCAGCCCGCCAUCCAUCAUGAUUCUGAACUCAUACGCUGCCAACCGCGUGUACACACAUCCAUCAGGGACGCACUCAGAAGACUAAAGACAGGAAAUCAGUUAUCUGGCGUGUCAAACGAGGGAGAGCUGCAUCUUAAAGAAAGAGAAAUGAAUAAAUGGAUGAAUAUUUAAAGCUCCCAUAGGCCUCCGUCUCCUGAUGAAUAUCAUCUUUAUACGCUGCUUUAUAGAGGUAGACCGUCACUGUGGAUAAAAGUUUCCACGUCGGAUGAACCGCAUGAACUCCCACCUGCUGCUUCGUCUCUUAGCCCAAAGUGAAGACGAUGGUCUCCAUCACCCGACAGCCGGCCGAAGUGGAGCAAUCAGGGCCAAUCAAACGGCGUCGUCCUUUAAACAAAUGAUGGGAAAGGUCAGCGGGCUGUAAAUAUAAUUGAUCAGAUGGCGGUUCCUCCUCAGCGUGAAGGUUAGCUGAUGCUGACAUUUGUUAGGAUAAUUUCUGGCCUGGGAUUAAAGCUGCGCUGUGACAUUUACACUCAGGUCGGAGUCGCUUCACUAAGACAGAUGCACCUCGAGUUUCCGUGUCAGUAAAAGGAUCUAUUAUAGAAAACUCGAAUGUCUUUGUGUGUCACAGAGGACCAGUCAGAUUGAGUUUUAUUUAAUAAACUACUUUAGUGACACACGACUCAAAAAUCACUGAAACACAUGUGACCAACACUCAGUGACCAACGCUCAGUGACCAACACUCAGUGAGGUUCCACUUCGGUGCAGAUAUUCGUGGUCCCCACAGGAUGAAUCCCGAUGACUUUGUUGAUCCUUGUGUCGGUCUGUCACGUUUUAACGUCCCAAAGAUAUCAAAGUAAAAACCAGAGGAGACCUCAUCAGGCCUCUUUGUUUUACCUGUGAGCACGUUUACCUGAAAAACACGGAGCGGUGUCGGUUUCUCCGUUCGUUCGUGCGUCCUGAUACCAGCAGAGCGGGGGUGUUUCUGCAUGAUGAGCUGCAUGUGUCUGUCUCUGCAGGGAGGAAGGAGAAGAAGAAGAGGAGGAGGGAGAGGAAGAGGGAGAGGAAGAGGGGUGUUCUCCUCAUCCAGAAAUAAUCCAAUUCCACGGGAGGAUGAACCAAACCUCCACCCUGCCGCUCUCAACUUCACCACCAUGAAAAGAGCUUUAGAGUCAGAGGGUGCUGAGGAAAGACCCCAGAGACUGUGUGUGUGUGUGUGUGUGUGUGUGUGUGUGUGUGUGUGUGUGUGUGUGUGUGUGUGUGUGUGUGUGUGUGUGUUAUAACAUGAUGCCA